CCCUUUAAGAGAUUUCUCUCCUAUUCACGUGAUAAGGUGCGCUGACUCUGUGUGCGCAUGCGGGGAUCCGCGAGAAAAACGUGGAACAGUCUGGGUGUGAUGCGUGUCGUCGCGAUCUGUUGUUUGAGGCAUAGUUGUAAUUACGGAUUACGUGGAUCGGUUGUGCACGUGGCGAUUGAACCUCGUGGUGAGUGCUAGCGAGCAUUUGGGACCAUCUGCUCUGAGCUGGGCCCGUCGGAGACAUUUCCCCGAGGGGAGUAAAUUCUCAUCAUUUCGGCCCCUUUCACCCAAGAUGAAGAUGUAUGACUGGUCACUUACUCUAAAUCAGCAUUUGACGGACACUGAUCUAAUGUCGCAGUACAAGGGAAUGAGGCAGAGAAGCAAUUACAAGACUUCUUCCCAACUGAUCACAGCCAAAUCCAAUCACACUCGACUGUGAGAGACGCUUUAAAAACCAUUAGAGCAGCACACCUGACGGAGGCUGGCGAUGGAUGGAUGGGGAGGAGUGUCACCUCACCAGAAGCCUAAUAUGACAUCACAGGUCAACAUAUAAUCAUCCGGAAGCUUAAAUCAGAAAACAUCACUCCAUACAAGUCAGUAGAUUCUGUAACUACAUCUUUCACCACUGACGGACAUUGAAGUUGUUAUUUGCAAUGAAAGCAUAUUUCAUUAUUUUCAAAAUCAGUUGUUGACUUCUCUCAAGGUACAUUAGAAGUCACUGGUCAUUAUAUCCACUUCACGAUGACACUAAACAGCAGACAGAAGCUCUGAACACAGACAUAAUCUGACCUGCAAAACGAAGCCGGGGCAAAACACACGGCAUUAAAGCUUAUGUGCAGUGUAAGCUGCAAAUAACCUACACACUUCAAAAGUGCACUCUCUCCACCCACAGCACAUCUUUACUCAUAUCAGCACAUUAAUGUUGCAAGUAUAAAAUGAGGUGGCGUACAUGUUGCAAAUCCUUGAGGUAGAAAAUCUUCUAUGCGCCUUCCAUCGGGCCGCGGGUUUAGCAGUAUCUCGCAUCGCCUCUUGUGUUCGCGGGAACCCGCGAUAAUGAGGUGCGUUUCGAGAGGGAUGCUGACAUCCUGCACAGGGGCGUAGAACCGCCUUAAAGACAUCAAACGAAACAACACUGGCUUAUUCCCACAAUGGAUUAGUGCAAUGGGAAUGUGCGUCUGAAAAAAGUUGAGGAAUGAGUUCUUGUGUAUGGAAAAGGCAGUCGUGUGCAGCUGAGCCUGGCAGAUAUGAAACUGCUGGUUAAUUAUCACUUUCUUACUGGGACCAUGUAAAGAAGCUGAGGAGUUUUGAUGAAGUCUAUUCUUAUGACUGCAAUAUUUAAGAGACAGACAUUAAAAAAUACAAUUUCUGGAGCUGAGAGCAAACCGAGU